rnacentral:rRNA from 1 species
GACGAACGCUGGCGGCGUGCUUAACACAUGCAAGUCGAGCGAGACUUUCUCUUCGGAGGGAUGCUCUAGCGGCGAACGGGUGAGUAACACGUGGGCAACCUGCCCCUAGCUCUGGGAUAAGCCCGAGAAAUCGGGUCUAAUACUGGAUAUUCACGACAUAGGGCAUCUUGUGUUGUGGAAAGGUUUUCUGGCUGGGGAUGGGCCCGCGGCCUAUCAGCUUGUUGGUGGGGNGAUGGCCUACCAAGGCGACGACGGGUAGCCGGCCUGAGAGGGCGACCGGCCACACUGGGACUGAGACACGGCCCAGACUCCUACGGGAGGCAGCAGUGGGGAAUCUUGCGCAAUGGGCGAAAGCCUGACGCAGCGACGCCGCGUGAGGGA